AUCAAAGGUGUCAUCAAAGACUCCUUUCAACUUAUGGAACUAUCCUCCCUAAAUUACUGCCCUGAUGAAGCCCUGAUGUUGUGGUGAGGUGACAUGCUGCGAGACCAGCUGAUCCUUAACAAGAGUGUGUGAUAGGGCAGAACAGGCCAGAUGAGAGACAGAAGAUAACCACAAGUAAGCACAGCUCCUACCUUCCUGGUCAUCAACUCAAGGAAGAGAAUAUUUGUGGGGACUCUACACAGGGUGCCUGGAGGAGCCCAGUGGGAACCACUUCCCUGUUGUGUUUCUGCAGGCAUUGCGAAGCAGCAGGAUCCAGGUAUGCUCCUCACCCAGCCUGCUCCAGGGCCCACUGCACCCUGCUGAGCUCAGCAGCCUGCUGCUGCCAGCCAAGUCUCUGCCUCUCAGCUGUAGCAAGGUUAUGGCAGGAACAGUCACCCAGCAACCUCUGCCUGUCAUCAGAGAGAAAAUCCAGCCCCAUCUGCAAACCAGAGCCUCUCGGAUGGGAUUUAUAUCUCUGCGGAGGCAGCAGCUCCUGGCUGCUUGUCUCUGCUGAGUUCAGCAGGAACACAGCACCUUUGGCCAAAAUGGAGCCAGGCUGCCUCCACCCUAUGGCAAGCACUCUGCUAUACAGAAGAAAGCACUGGUGUUUAACUAAGGAAAAAAAAAGUAAAAAAAAAAAAAAAGAAAAAAAGGAAAUAACAAUUGUAUUUUUCUCAAAUAAGCAGAAUUUAAAAACUAAUUAUGUCUCACUUACCUUUUGGAAAUGAGGCUUGCAAAUACAAAAACAAAACAAGAUAUUUCACAGUGAAAGAUAGCUGGAAUGUCUGAGAUCACAUUUAUGUGAUUGGCAGAAUUAGAUCUGUUAAAUCUCAUCUUCUGAAGAUAAAGAAGCCAUCCUCCUUACAGAAGGGAUUCAAUAUUUAAUGACCACUAAGGCAUCCUUCAUAGAAUCAUGGAAUCCUUAGAGUUGGAAGGGACCUUUAAAGGUCAUCCAGCCCAAUUCCCCUGCAGUGAACAGGG
rnacentral:lncRNA from 1 species